UGUUAAUGAUGAUCCAAAGUAUUUGCUAUCUGAAUCUGUUCAUGCUGAUAUUUAUAUUACCACCAUUAUCAAAUUCUGAUAACA